rnacentral:rRNA from 1 species
UAAUACCCCAUAGAUCAUGGGAUCUGGAAUGACCCAUGGUUGAAAGUUCCGGCGCUUAAGGAUCGCUCUGCGGCUUAUCAGGUUGUAGUGGGUGUAACGUACCCCCUAGCCAGUGACGAGUAUGGGCCUUGAGAGAGGGAGCCCAGAGUUGGAUUCUGAGACACGAAUCCAGGCCCUACGGGGCGCAGCAGUCGCGAAAACUUCACGCUGGGGGCAAACCCGAUGAGGGAAUUCCUAGUGCUAGGACAUUUGUUCUAGCUUUUCUCUAGCGUAGAUAACUAGAGGAAUAAGGGCUGGGUAAGACGGGUGCCAACCGCCGCGGUAAUACCUGCAGCCCAAGUGGUGGUCGAUUUUAUUGAGUCUAAAGCGUUCGUAGCCGGUUUGAUUAAUCCUUGGGUAAAUCGGGAAACUUAACUUUCCGACUUCCGAGGAGACUGUCAAACUUGGGACCGGGGAGAGGCUACAGGUACUUCUGGGGUAAGGGUAAAAUCCUGUAAUCCUAGAAGGAACACCGGUGGCGAAGGCGUCUAACUAGAACGGGAUCCGACGGGUGAGGGGACGAAGCCCUGGCGUCGCAAACGGGAAUUAGAUACCCCCGGUAGUCCAGCGGUUGUAAACGCUGGCGACUUGGGUGU